UCUCGUAUGGUCUAGUGGUUCAAGGAUGUUACUCUUUCACAGUGAAUGCCCGGGUUCGAUUCCCGGUACGAGAA
rnacentral:tRNA from 1 species